CGGUGUUCAACUGGCGUGUCCGCGGGACGUCCUGCCGGUGGGCUUAGCCCGCAAGGGCGGCCCAACUUCAAAUCCCAUCGCGGUGCUCUUCACUGAGUGUCGAGGUGGGCCGGCACGUUUACUUUGAACAAAUUAGAGUGCUUAAAGCAGGCUAAAACUUCGCCUGAAUACUGUGUGCAUGGAAUAAUGGAAUAGGACCUCGGUUCUAUUUUGUUGGUUUUCGGAACCCCGAGGUAAUGAUUAAUAGGAACGGAUGGGGGCAUUCGUAUUGCGACGUUAGAGGUGAAAUUCUUGGAUCGUCGCAAGACGGACAGAAGCGAAAGCAUUUGCCAAAAACGCUUUCAUUGAUCAAGAACGAAAGUUAGAGGUUCGAAGGCGAUCAGAUACCGCCCUAGUUCUAACCAUAAACGAUGCCAGCUAGCGAUCCGUCGACGUUCCUCCGAUGACUCGACGGGCAGCUUCCGGGAAACCAAAGCUUUUGGGUUCCGGGGGAAGUAUGGUUGCAAAGCUGAAACUUAAAGGAAUUGACGGAAGGGCACCACCAGGAGUGGAGCCUGCGGCUUAAUUUGACUCAACACGGGAAACCUCACCAGGCCCGGACACCGGAAGGAUUGACAGAUUGAGAGCUCUUUCUUGAUUCGGUGGGUGGUGGUGCAUGGCCGUUCUUAGUUGGUGGAGCGAUUUGUCUGGUUAAUUCCGAUAACGAACGAGACUCUAGCCUGCUAACUAGGCGUAUUUUCGACAUCUCAAAGGUCCGUCGUCCCGGCCCUCGGGUCGUGGGCGUGCGCGAUUUUUACUGUCGGCGUACUAUCAAUUCUUCUUAGAGGGACAAGUGGCUUCUAGCCGCACGAGAUUGAGCAAUAACAGGUCUGUGAUG
rnacentral:rRNA from 1 species